GACGAACGCUGGCGGCGUGCUUAACACAUGCAAGUGGAGCGACGAACCGGGCUUCGGCCCGGGGCAGAGCCGCGAACGGGUGAGUAACACGUGGGUUACCUGCCCCGAUGACUGGGACAACCCGGGGAAACCCGGGCUAAUACCGGAUGUGCCCUUCGGGGGAAAGGAAGCUUCGGCCUCCGCAUCGGGAUGGGCCCGCGGCCCAUUAGCUUGUUGGUGGGGUAAUGGCCCACCAAGGCUGCGAUGGGUAGCUGGUCUGAGAGGACGAUCAGCCACACUGGGACUGAGACACGGCCCAGACUCCUACGGGAGGCAGCAGUGGGGAAUCUUGCGCAAUGCGCGAAAGCGUGACGCAGCAACGCCGCGUGGGGGAAGACGGCCUUCGGGUUGUAAACCCCUUUCAGUUGGGACGAAGCUCCGCCGGUGAACAGCCGGCCGGAGUGACGGUACCUUCAGAAGAAGCCCCGGCUAACUACGUGCCAGCCGCCGCAGUAAUAC
rnacentral:rRNA from 1 species